GAUGAAGAACGUAGCGAAAUGCGAUAAGUAGUGUGAAUUGCAGAAUUCAGUGAAUCAUCGAAUCUUUGAACGCACAUUGCGCCCCUUGGUAUUCCAUGGGGCAUGCCUGUUCGAGCGUCAUUUGUACCUUCAAGCUUUGCUUGGUGUUGGGUGUUUGUCUCGCCUUUGCGUGUAGACUCGCCUUAAAAUAAUUGGCAGCCGGCGUAUUGAUUUCGGAGCGCAGUACAUCUCGCGCGUUGCACUCAUAACGACAGCGUCCAAAAGUACAUUUUACACUCUUGACCUCGGAUCAGGUAGGGAUACCCGCUGAACUUAAGCAUAUCAAUAAGCGGAGGA
rnacentral:misc_RNA from 1 species